UACGGGAGGCAGCAGUAGGGAAUCUUCCGCAAUGGACGAAAGUCUGACGGAGCAACGCCGCGUGAACGAUGAAGGCUUUCGGGUCGUAAAGUUCUGUUGUUAGGGAAGACAAGUACCAGAGUAACUGCUGGUACCUUGACGGUACCUAACCAGAAAGCCACGGCUAACUACGUGCCAGCAGCCGCGGUAAUACGUAGGUGGCAAGCGUUGUCCGGAAUUAUUGGGCGUAAAGCGCGCGCAGGUGGUCCUUUUAAGUCUGAUGUGAAAGCCCACGGCUCAACCGUGGAGGGUCAUUGGAAACUGGGGGACUUGAGUGCAGAAGAGGAAAGUGGAAUUCCACGUGUAGCGGUGAAAUGCGUAGAGAUGUGGAGGAACACCAGUGGCGAAGGCGACUUUUCUGGUCUGUAACUGACACUGAGGCGCGAAAGCGUGGGGAGCGAACAGGGAUUAGAUACC
rnacentral:rRNA from 1 species